rnacentral:lncRNA from 1 species
GGGGGGAUGAGGAUGGAAGGGUGGACUGAAAUCACAACGAAGCUUUGGAUUAUUCCUAUCAUAGGUUUCAUAAACGCUCAGCUCUUCCUGAUCCUCCGUGGCUAGAGAAAGUCAUACUGUAUGCUUUAUGUGCAUGAGAGACAUUUAUGUAUUUACAGUGCACACGCUUCAAUGGCUACUCCUGUGUUGAGGACAUCUGGCUCCAAGGUUGACAUAUUUUCUCCUCUACCUCUCUGUCUCUAACAACAACCUUAUCAUCCUCCAUUACACACCUGGAUUGUAUUACAUAUUAGUUCUCUUAACAGAGAUAGGUGUAAAACAAGGAUGAUGGGGAUGGGUCUGUGACGGAUAUCAUCGUGAGAAAGAGAGAAAUAGAGGGAGCGAGAGAAUGUGAGAGAGAAAGGGGGGGAGAGGGGGGAUAGAGAGAGACAGGGGAUAGAGAGAGACCGGGGUAGAGAGAGACAGGGGAUAGAGAGAGACCGGGGUAGAGAGAGACAGAGUGUAGAGAGAGACAGGGGCAGAGAGAGACAGCCAGGGAGAGAGAGAGACAGACAGGGACAGAGAGAGACAGACAGGGACAGAGAGAGACAGACAGGGAUAGAGAGAGACAGGGGUAGAGAGAGACAGGGGAUAGAGAGAGACGGGGAUAGAGAGAGAUAGGGGAUAGAGAGAGACAUAGGUAGAGAGAUACAGGGGUAGAGAGAGACAGGGGGUAGAGAGAGAUAGGGGAUAGAGAGAGACAUAGGUAGAGAGAUACAGGGACAGAGAGAGACGGGGAUAGAGAGAGACAGGGGGUAGAGAGAGACAGGGGAUAAAGAGAGACAGGGUAGAGAGAGACAGGGGAUAGAGAGAGACAAGGGUAGAGAGAUACAGGGGAUAGAGAGAGACGGGGAUAGAGAGAUACAGGGGGUAGAGAGAUACAGGGGUAGAGAGAGACAGGGGGUAGAGAGAGACAGGGGGUAGAGAGAGACAGGGGAUAGAGAGAGAUAGGGGAUAGAGAGAGACAUAGGUAGAGAGAUACAGGGGGUAGAGAGAGACAGGGGUAGAGAGAGACAGGGAGUAGAGAGAGACAGGGGAUAAAGAGAGACAGGAGGUAGAGAGAGACAGGGGAUAGAGACAGACAGGGGUAGAGAGAGACAGGGGUAGAGAGAGACAGGGAUAUAGAGAGACAGAGGUAGAGAGAGACAGAGGUAGAGAGAGACAGAGGUAGAGAGAGACAGAGGUAGAGAGAGACAGGGGUAGAGAGAGACAGGGGGUAGAGAGAGGGGAUAGAGAGACAGGGAAUAGAGAGAGACAGGGGAUAGAGAGAGACGGGUAGAGAGAGACAGGGGAUAGAGAGAGACGGGGGUAGAGAGAGACAGGGAAUAGAGAGAGAGACGGGGUAGAGAGAGACAGGGGGUAGAGAGAGACAGGGGUAGAGAGAGACAGGGGUAGAGAGAGACAGGGGUAGAGAGAGACAGGGGUAGAGAGAGACAGGGAGCAGUUAUCCUCUCUAUUUCCUCUGCACCAGCUUUGCGGUUUCUGUGUGGAACAGAUGUUCACAACUUGAUACAGUGCACCAUGCCCCUCUCCUUGCUAUCUUCAGUCCCAGCACUACCAACUGUCUGCACACACACAUUCUCCCUCUCUCUCUCUUGCAUGCCAAUGUGGACACAAUUGCUUGCCUGAAUACAUGUGGAUGUAUUCAGGUGAAAACAGCGUAAAUUGAGAACUUUCUACUGCUGCCCAAUUGACUUUCUCUCCUGUUCCUGCAUCCUGCUCUUUAGUAAACAUUUCACUUUAACGAGGUGCUAU